rnacentral:rRNA from 1 species
UGCUAGUGUAGAGUUUGGCUGCGGGAGAUGUAGUUGCAAUUGUACCAGUGGCAGUGAAAGGCAUGGAUAGGUCCCCGGACGCCGAUGGCGACGGCAGGUUUCUAGAUUGUCGUUGACGCUGAGGCGCGAGAGGAUCGAGCUGGAUCAGGUUUAGUUGCCGUGGUAGUCCACGUCGAAAUCGAUGAGUACUCGGUUUUAACUUUACUCAGUAAGGCAGUCAGCGAGUGAAUUAGGUAGUCCGCGGGGGGAGUACGCCAGCAUGGAAGUCAAUCGAAGGGAUUGGGGGCGGCCCGCACAACCGGUGGUGCAUGUUGAUUAAUUGGAAGGUGCGAGACCAUCCUUACCCGUGCCAUGAAGUUAGUGAAUAAUAGAUCGAGGGUGUUGUGACCGAGAACCAGUACAUAGGUGCUGCAUGGCUGUCGUCAGCUCGUGUCGUGAGGUGUUGGGUUAAGUCCCGCAACGAGCGCAACCCUUGUCAUUAGUUGCUAGCAAAGGGCACUCUAAGAGAUGCACUGCCGGUGACAAACCGGAAGGAAGGUGGGGAGGAGGUCAAGUCGUCAAUGUGCCUUUAGGGCCAGGGCUCCGCGCGUACUCCAAUGGUACAUACAGAGGGCCGCCAAGCCGCGAGGUGGAGACAACCACCGAAACUCAAUAGUACUCCGGCUGGUAGUAUGCAAGUCGACAGCUUGAAGUCGGAAUCGCUGGUAAUCGCGUAUCAGCAUGUCGCAGUGAAUACGUUCCACGGGUUUUGUACACACCGCCACUCACACCAUCGAGCCGGUAAACCAGAAGUCGCUAGCUAACAACCGCANGACGCUCUAUAGAUAUCU